rnacentral:rRNA from 1 species
GGAGUUAGCCGGUGCUUCUUCUGCGAGUAACGUCACAGAUGUAAGGUAUUAACUUACACCCUUUCCUCCUCGCUGAAAGUGCUUUACAACCCGAAGGCCUUCUUCACACACGCGGCAUGGCUGCAUCAGGGUUUCCCCCAUUGUGCAAUAUUCCCCACUGCUGCCUCCCGUAGGAGUCUGGGCCGUGUCUCAGUCCCAGUGUGGCUGAUCAUCCUCUCAGACCAGCUAGGGAUCGUCGCCUAGGUGAGCCUUUACCUCACCUACUAGCUAAUCCCACCUGGGCUUAUCCAUCAGCGCAAGGCCCGAAGGUCCCCUGCUUUCCCCCGUAGGGCGUAUGCGGUAUUAGCAGUCGUUUCCAACUGUUAUCCCCCACAAAUGGGCAAAUUCCCAGGCAUUACUCACCCGUCCGCCGCUCGUCAUCUUCAAAAGCAAGCUUUUGAAAUGUUACCGCUCGACUUGCAUGUGUUAGGCCUGCCGCCAGCGUUCAAUCUGAGCCAAGAUCAAAUUCUGA